AGGUGUAACAUAUUGUGUGAACUGUUCAAUAAGGGGAGUGUGAGAGUAAGGAAAACACAGUAAACUCUUCCCUGGGGACCGCAGAGUGCCUCCGCCCAUCUGAAGUGCUGGACACAACCAGAAAUUAGCCUUGUGCAAAUGAGCAUGGUAAGUAUCUGGAAGCUUUCUUGCACGCCUGCUGUAAAAUUAAUACAUUUUGUCCUCCAUACCUGUUACAAAGAAACCUUUCGACAAACUAUAGGGGUUGGGUUGCCAAAGAAUGGCCACAGCCUUUUGUUAAUGAACCCUAUCAGCCAUUAGGAGAGGAAGCCAGUGCUUCUAGCUUUCUGCUCUGAACCAUAACUUAUAUUUGUGCUGCAAUCCAACAUCUGAAAAGUAUGUGGGCUACAAAACAUCUUUAUAACACAAAUAAAAGGCUGUAUAUGUCACAGCAGUUGUGUCUCCCAGCAAUUAGGGGUUGAAUAGGUACAUGUAAGAGUGGAAAUCGUAAUGUACAUACAAUCAAAUGCAUAUUCAGGUUUCAGUAAAAGGAUACUGAUUCAUCUGUUGUGGGUUCUUUGUUGAUUUUGAAAAGCUUUUGAAACCGUUACAUUUAGCCUGUAGAGAGGGAUUUACUCCCUAUCUUUCCACACUCUUGUAACAUCAAAAGAUUUGCUGAAGGACAACUGCUGAAGGACAAUUGGGCCACUUUGAAAGGCUUUUGAAUAACUCCCUAAAUAGUAUUUUUUUUUUCAUGAUGAAUUGUGUAUGUAUGUGUGUGUGGUUGUGGGGGGGGCAUUUGUAGAUUGUAAUCAAACAAACAUUUAGUUUAAUUCUUUCAUCAUACCCUCUGUCUGCAAUUUUAUCUUAAUCAAUUUGUCUUGAUCAAUUUGUCUUGUCAAUUUUGGGGUAUAAAAUGGGUAAAUCAUGAAUACAAAGUCUGGUCCACAGGCAACAAGACAUGGUUGCCUAAUGUUGUGUUCUAUUACAGCAAAGCUUGAAAUUGUCUUUGUGAACAGCUGGCCUCCUCUUUGCCCUUGACUUUGAAAGCCAUCUUCUUCUCCCUGAGCCUGAGCCACUUGGCUCUCAGCAGGUGCAGCCUGUUAGGAGUGCCCCAGACCAGAUUUGCAUGGUGGCUUGUUUAUUUGCCGUUAUGACUAAGGACUGAUUUGUGUUGCUGGGCUGAAAGACGUCUGCCAGUUCCAUUCGUGUAGCCUAUGCCAAAAGCCACUCUCAGAUCCAUUUUCAUAACAAGCGUGUUGCCAGCUUGACACAAGCCAAGGGCUCAAAUCCCCCAGCCUGUUAUGAAUGUUGGUGUACAUUUCUUAAAGUGUGUGCCAUUGUUCAGAGUCGUCUCACAUACAGAUUACCAAUGAGUCAUUACCAGAGCUGGAUUCCCAAAGACAAUAGCAUUAGUCAUUGUUCGGUUAAAUGUGAUGUAUGCAAUUGUCAGAGGCCGAGGUGCUUCAAGGCUUCUCAGAUCACAAUUUAUUUUGUGUAGAAAAUUAUUGAAUACGCCUAUAAAUUGACCAAUGUUGAAUAAUUGUACCGAGGUGCAAUGCAAUGAGUCACCAGGUCAGAUAUGGCAUGUUAAUUCCUUUAAAGUCCCUCAAAUGAAUCUAAUAAUUAUUGACUUUUCUGAGUGUGUGUAAUGUUCAAAUGGAUCAUUAUCCCCCAUUGGUAGUGGAAAGGAGUUAACGGCACAGGAGAACAAAGGAGGGGUGUACUUUAUGAUUGAAGAUGAAUUAUAUUAAUCGAAGCUGACAGAAUCAAAACAUUUGACAGUGAUAUACAAUGACACCAUCUGUUUGUAGUGCAUUGGCACUGGCUUGUUUUCCCCACACAAACACAAACAUGACAUAAUGCACUUGGCUUGGCAGAGUCAACCUGGGGAUUUGGGAAGGAAUCAAAGACACUUGCAAGUCUUUCAGUCCAAGACUAACCACAGUAAAAUAAGUCAAAUAAGUAAACCCAUGUUAUAUUCUGCAUGAUUAUGUUAAAAUGCAGUACAGUAUAUACCAUAGUAACACUGCAGUUAACCCUGAUUGUACUCAAAUGCGCAUAUGGAUGUUCUCCACCAUUUUGGCAUGCAGAGAGAGAUUAUUUGGAGCAGAUGUAGUGGAUAUUACCAGGGAAACAUUCACUCAGACAAGUUAAUAAGCAACACCAGUUGUUGAGUUUUCAGCUGAGCGCAUUACCCAGGCCAUGCAUGAAAUGGUUUCAUUUUCCAUCACUGUUUGUUUUCCCUGAUCAUUUCCAUGAUAGAGAAAGAAAACGGAAUUACUGUUGUUGAACCUAUUGAGGUGUACAGCUCCCCAGUCCUGCCAGUUCACAAAUGAGCUUGGCAUCAGGGUCGAUUGCAUGGCAAGGAUGGUGUCUGCAUAGGCUCAGCACGCAAGGAAGUGUCUCAUGCCAACCACUGCCAAGUGACUGACUGUGUCACGCCUGCUCACGCUCCUCCUCUCUGGCGCUCGAGGGCCAUCAUUACGCACACCUGUCACCACUGUUACGCGCAUCAGCGCUUCAUUGGACUCACCUGGACUCCAUCACUUAUUGCUUGCCUCCCCUAUAUCUGUCUAUUCCUCAGUUUCAUCCCCAUGUCAGCAUUAAUGUAGUUCUUGUUCCCCCUGUCCCCCUUGUUGUGUUUCAUGUUGGUUAUUUAUUGAAUAUUCACUCCCUGUAUUUGCUUCUCGUCUCCCAGUGUCUGUCCUCACAGAAUGUUGACACCACAACAUCAGGGAGAUUCUUUUUUUUUGGUGACGUCGAGUGCCACUCCCGAAGGAACCGGGGUGCCUCAGCUGGCUCGUCAGGCUUCCAUGCUUUAGCUGGCUCGAGAGGUUUUCUUGCCUCGGUUGGCUCGGCAGGCUCCCAUCCCACGUCAUUCCUCAGCCGGUUCGUCGAGCUCCCGCGCCUCAGCCGGCUCGUCAGGCUCCCACGCCUCAGCCGGCUCGUCAGGCUCCCGCACCUCAGCCGGCUCGUCAGGCUCCCGCGCCUCAGCCGGCUGGUUGGGUUCCCAUGCCUCGGCUGUCCCAGGUGGGACGCCGGGUGGCGCCCCUAGAAGGGGGGCUACUGUCACACCUGCUCCCGCUCCCCCUCUCUGGGGCUCUCUGGCACCAGACGGCCCAUCAUUACCCACACCUGUCAUCAUCGUUACACACAUCAGUGCUUCAUUGGACACACCUGGACCAUCACUUAUUGAUUGCCUCCCCUAUAUCUGUCUCUUCCUCAGUUUCAUCCCCUGUUGCAGCACUAAUGUCGUUUUUGUUCCCCCUGUUCAAACGCUGUCCUUGUUUUGUUUCAUGUCGGUUAUUUACUAAAUAUUCACUCCCUGUACUUGCUUCUCGUCUCCCAGCAUCUGCCCUCACAGACUGGCUGACUGGCAUGGGGAGGCGAGGGGGAGAAGAGAACAGGUGUCUAGACCAGACAGCAGUCAGUGAGCCUUUGCUCAUCACCACAACUGUCUUAUUUAUUCAGGAACAUCCACAAACUUACAGCACUCAGUUGUUGCAGUGUCAAAUUGAUUGCAGUUUCAAAUUCAAAUGGCAAAGAAUAGCCACAAAGCCAUGUUUUCUAACUUAUCCAAAGACUACAAUAACACCAUCAAGAAGACUGUCAAGCUUUGUCUCUUGCCUGUUUUUCAGAUGUGCAAAUGGUUCUGUGGAUGUGUAGCAUCUUCCCUGUCCAUGUCAACAAGUCAACUUGGCCAGGUGAAUGCCUACACUUUAUCAUGCAUGUAUUUUAUCAUUGUGAUUAAGUUAGCCAUGUCAUAAUAGUUUGUUGUGUUUCCAUACAACCUUCAUUUUCAUUGCAUUGCAUGCUUAUACUGUAGUUUUGAUUGGUAGUUUUCAUUUUGUUAUUGCUGAAAAUUUGAGCGGAACUUAUACUCUUCCCUUGAAGCAAUAUAAGAGGUUUUCCCAGUUCAUCAGGGGUUUUCUCGGUUCGCCGGGGUUUUCCAGGUUCGCCAGGGGGUUUUCCCGGUUCGCCGGGGUUUUCCAGGUUCGCCGGGGUAUUCCCGGUUCGCUGGGGUUUUCCAGGUUCGCCAGGGUUUUCCCAGUUCGCCGGGGUUUUCCCAGUUCACCGGGGUUUUCCCAGUUCGCCAGGGUUUCACUCGUUCACCAGGGUUGUACUAUAGUAAGUACACUGUAGUUUCACCAGUAUCACCUCUCCUACCUUUUUCAUCCCAGAGAGCAGAUCAUUGCUAAAGCAUCCUGUCUAUAAUUUCAUUUUCUACACAAAAGCCCCCAAAAAUGUAUUACAGCAUGCAGAACUAAUAGAUGUUUACUCAACUGUAGCUCAACCUGAGAUAUUUCUUUCUAUUUCCCCUCACUACAGGCAGUGAAAUAUACGUGCUGUUUCUGCAUUGUAUUUCCUCUGCUGCCAUUCUUCUGUGUUGAACGAAGGGACAAACAGGACAAAUCAAUUCUACAUUUGCUUUCACUUAAAUGCUGACAUUGUAUGUAAUGAGGUUCGUAUGUGAUGAGGUUCGUAUGUAAUGAAGUUCGUAGGUAAACUAAAACUGUGCAGUUAAAAGUGUGCUGUGCCAUUUCAAGGCAGAUAUCAACACAAUAGGUCAAAAUGUAUAAUUCAGCCAAUGUUAGUGUAUUUACAUUAAAAUCACUUUUUAUCCAA